rnacentral:rRNA from 1 species
UACGUAGGGUGCAAGCGUUGUCCGGAAUUAUUGGGCGUAAAGAGCUCGUAGGCGGUUUGUCGCGUCUGCUGUGAAAACUCAGGGCUUAACCCUGAGCCUGCAAUGGGUACGGGCAGACUAGAGUGUGGUAGGAGAGAUCGGAAUUCCUGGUGUAGCGGUGGAAUGCGCAGAUAUCAGGAGGAACACCGGUGGCGAAGGCGGAUCUCUGAGCCAUAACUGACGCUGAGGAACGAAAGCAUGGGGAGCGAACAGG